AUAUUGCACAAUGGGCGCAAGCCUGAUGCAGCCAUGCCGCGUGUAUGAAGAAGGCCUUCGGGUUGUAAAGUACUUUCAGCAGUGAGGAAGGCGGGUACGUUAAUAGCGUGCUCGUUUGACGUUAGCUGCAGAAGAAGCACCGGCUAACUCCGUGCCAGCAGCCGCGGUAAUACGGAGGGUGCGAGCGUUAAUCGGAAUUACUGGGCGUAAAGCGCAUGCAGGUGGUUUGUUAAGUCAGAUGUGAAAGCCCGGGGCUCAACCUCGGAAUAGCAUUUGAAACUGGCAGACUAGAGUACUGUAGAGGGGGGUAGAAUUUCAGGUGUAGCGGUGAAAUGCGUAGAGAUCUGAAGGAAUACCGGUGGCGAAGGCGGCCCCCUGGACAGAUACUGACACUCAGAUGCGAAAGCGUGGGGAGCAAACAGGAUUAGAUACCCUGGUAGUCCACGCCGUAAACGAUGUCUACUUGGAGGUUGUGGCCUUGAGCCGUGGCUUUCGGAGCUAACGCGUUAAGUAGACCGCCUGGGGAGUACGGUCGCAAGAUUAAAACUCAAAUGAAUUGACGGGGGCCCGCACAAGCGGUGGAGCAUGUGGUUUAAUUCGAUGCAACGCGAAGAACCUUACCUACUCUUGACAUCCAUAGAACUUUCCAGAGAUGGAUUGGUGCCUUCGGGAACUAUGAGACAGGUGCUGCAUGGCUGUCGUCAGCUCGUGUUGUGAAAUGUUGGGUUAAGUCCCGCAACGAGCGCAACCCUUAUCCUUGUUUGCCAGCGAGUAAUGUCGGGAACUCCAGGGAGACUGCCGGUGAUAAACCGGAGGAAGGUGGGGACGACGUCAAGUCAUCAUGGCCCUUACGAGUAGGGCUACACACGUGCUACAAUGGCGCAUACAGAGGGCGGCCAACUUGCGAAAGUGAGCGAAUCCCAAAAAGUGCGUCGUAGUCCGGAUUGGAGUCUGCAACUCGACUCCAUGAAGUCGGAAUCGCUAGUAAUCGUAGAUCAGAAUGCUACGGUGAAUACGUUCCCGGGCCUUGUACACACCGCCCGUCACACCAUGGGAGUGGGCUGCAAAAGAAGUGGGUAGUUUAACCUUCGGGGGGACGC
rnacentral:rRNA from 1 species